rnacentral:tRNA from 1 species
AAGAAAGUGGCAGAGGGGUUAUGUGUUCGGCUUGAAACCGACCUAUGGGGGUUCAAGUCCUCCCUUUCUCG